rnacentral:rRNA from 1 species
GAUGAACGCUAGCGACAGGCUUUAACACAUGCAAGUCGAGGGGCAGCACGGUGUAGCAAUACACUGGUGGCGACCGGCGCACGGGUGAGUAAACACGUGUGCAACCAACCCCGUACCGGGAGAUAACCCGCGGAAACGUGGACUAACAUCCCAUAACACUGGAGGAUCACAUGAUCUUUCAUUUAAAAUUCCGGUGGUACGGGACGGGCACGCGCGACAUUAGGUAGUUGGCGGGGCAACGGCCCACCAAGCCGACGAUGUCUAGGGGUUCUGAGAGGAAGGUCCCCCACACUGGAACUGAGCCACGGUCCAGACUCCCACGGGAGGCAGCAGUGAGGAAUAUUGGUCAAUGGGCGCGAGCCUGAACCAGCCAAAGUCGCGUGAGGGAAGAAUGGUCUAUGGCCUGUAAACCUCUUUUGUCAAGGAAGAAUAAAAGGUACGCGUACCUUCUUGCCAGUACUUGACGAAUAAGCAUCGGCUAACUCCGUG